rnacentral:tRNA from 1 species
GCGGGUAUGGUAUAAUGGCUAUUAUAUAACCUUGCCAAGGUUAAGAUGGCGGUUCGAUUCCGCUUACCCGCU